GGAUGUGACAGCGAUCUGGCUGCGACAUCCGUCACCCCAUUGAUCGCCAGGGUUGAUUUGGCUGAUCUGGCUGGCUAGGCGGGUGUCCCCUUCCUCCCUCACGACUCCAUGCGCACUUGGUCGAAGAGGACGGCCUUCCCUGAAUAGAGACGGACCAGUCUUUGGUGGAAGGUAUACGAGUAGCUGUGCUCCCCUGCUAGAACCUCCAAACAAGCUCUCAAAGUGACAAGGACUCAUGUCAAAGAGCACAUAUUUCUCCGUAUGAGCACAAACCCUAAUCAAUGUACAACUCAAAUGGGAUGCGACUUGCCCUUUUC
ensembl:misc_RNA 7SK 7SK RNA